GACGAACGCUGGCGGUAGGCCUAACACAUGCAAGUCGAACGGCAGCACAGGAGAGCUUGCUCUCUGGGUGGCGAGUGGCGGACGGGUGAGGAAUACAUCGGAAUCUACUCUGUCGUGGGGGAUAACGUAGGGAAACUUACGCUAAUACCGCAUACGACCUACGGGUGAAAGCAGGGGACCUUCGGGCCUUGCGCGAUUGAAUGAGCCGAUGUCGGAUUAGCUAGUUGGCGGGGUAAAGGCCCACCAAGGCGACGAUCCGUAGCUGGUCUGAGAGGAUGAUCAGCCACACUGGAACUGAGACACGGUCCAGACUCCUACGGGAGGCAGCAGUGGGGAAUAUUGGACAAUGGGCGCAAGCCUGAUCCAGCCAUACCGCGUGGGUGAAGAAGGCCUUCGGGUUGUAAAGCCCUUUUGUUGGGAAAGAAAUCCAGCUGGCUAAUACCCGGUUGGGAUGACGGUACCCAAAGAAUAAGCACCGGCUAACUUCGUGCCAGCCGCCGCGGUAA
rnacentral:rRNA from 1 species